rnacentral:lncRNA from 1 species
CCCAACUCUUCGCUUCACUUCACCUGUGCCUCCCUGUUCCGCGCACUUUGCAGGAGCCCGCCCGCCUUUCGGCCACCUCUGCCGCCUGCAGGGCACCUCCUCUAGCGCUUGCCCUGAUUGCGCCCACCCACCUCCCUCCGCCUUGUGCCUCAUUGGUUUGGGUGGCUGCUCCGCGCUCUUCUUUCCCUCCAGUCCUUCUUGUUCUCUUCUUCGGGCUGCUGCUGCUGCUGCUGUCUUCUUUUCAUCCAGUUGGGAACCCUGGAAGCAGGCGGCUGCUCCGUGGCGCUCCUCCAGAAAGCGCAGGGUUAACUGCCUCCGCGCCCUUCCGCCACCGAGACUCUCAGGAACAGAACUCUUCCACCUGCAGCCCCCUUUUGCCUGGCAGUUCUGCAUUGCAUCUGAUGGAAGUCGAAAGAGGAAAAAAAAAAAUGUUCAAACUCUUUGGAUGUUGGGAUAAACUAGCUUGAAUCUACUUGGGUCGCCUGCCUCUUCCUCCUCUUUCUUCGUUUCCACCUUUGCCGUGUGGCUUCUCGGAGUGUGCAGUUAAGUCAUCAGACCCAAGGUGCCUAGAGAACAGGAGGAAGCCUCGCCUGUCCUCCCCUGACAUGUGUGGCAUGCGGGGGUUCCCUAGGAGGUUUGCUUUACCUGGGUGGACUCAGGCGUCCUAAAUUUUAGCUCCGGGAAAGGGGGCUUUGUCUUUUAUCUUUUUUUUUUUUUUAACUGAUUCAUCAUCAGUUUUCUUGAAACCUCUUAUUGUUUCCCUUUUCCCCAAAUCGGGCAACUCUUCCUCUCACUAUGAUGGGCCCCUGGGCAUCAUGAACUUCAUUAUUCUUCACUGGCUGGAAUUGAAACUGCCCAUCUGUAGUGGUCCAGUGCGUUGACCAUGCACCUGAGAAUCCACGCGAGACGGAGCCCUCCCCGCCGGCCGGCCUGGACGCUUGGAAUUUGGUCCCUCUUCUGGGGAUGUAUCGUCAGCUCUGUGUGGAGUUCCUCUAAUGUAGCUUCCUCCUCCUCCUCCUCUUCCUCGCCGGGGUCUCACUCUCAGCACGAGCACCAUUUCCAUGGCAGCAAGCAUCACUCAGUGCCUAUUUCUAUCUAUCGCUCCCCUGUUUCCCUUCGAGGAGGGCACGGUGGGUCUCUCUGCUCUUUAUCCUUUUAAUGGGGCAUAGCAAUUCCUUAACCCACUCGUCUUUCAGUAGUGUCAAGGGUGGGAAAAGCAUACAAAAUUGAAUUUAGAAUGAUAAAAAAGCAUCGCAUGUGCAUGAGGGAAGAAAAUUUCCACUUUCUCUUAAAGGCUCACGUUGCCCAGUCUUCUGGGAAGGGUUCUCCUUACCUUAGCUCCCUCCAGCAUAACUGCACAAACACCCCUCUCUCCUUUGCAGCCCUCACCCCCUUUGAUGACACACAGCUUAUCAGACAAGACCCUAUGCUACAUAUUGAGGAAUCAUUCAUUCACCUUGCUUUCACCCUUCCUUUCUCUGGUCUCAUUUGAGUGCUAGUUGUGGAGAAAUAGCAGAUAGCAGGCAUCAUUCAGUCUUCAGCCUGAAGUUGAUUGAAUCGCUGUAAAGUUAGUUGUCUGUGUGGUAAAGGUCAGGGGAAAGUAGCUGAGUAUAAGAAGGCAGAAAAUAUAAUUAAUAACCAGAGGCCAUUAUUGUUCAAUUUGGCAGCUUCAUGUUUGCCCACAACUAGUUGAGAAAGCAGGGAUCACUAAAACUGGGCAUCUAAUAUUGCUAGCUACCAGAGAGGAAGCAAUAUGUGUAAGGCUGUCCAUUUAUACUUCACCAAAGUGUAAAUGAUAGUAAUUUUGAUUCCACCACUUAGGCAAUAAUCUUUCAGUUAAGGCAGAAUGAAUGGUCUCCUCUAAUCAAAACAGGUAUGCUAUGUUUUGCUCUGAACAACCCUCCUGCAUAGCUAUGGAAGGAAGAGAUCUGUGGUUCUUAAAAAUAUAUUCAGCUCUGAGCAGGCUGCCUCUAAAAGGGUAAUGUCUGCGGUUAAAGGUAGGAGCUUGCUGUAGUAAACUGUUCUUAGGAAAAGAGCUUCCUUAUUUGUUUACUAUGCACUCCAUUCUGAUGAUGAAGGGAAUAGGAAGCACAGAGAGUGACUGCAGGGGCAGACCUUCAGAGAGCAUCAGUAGGAACCACACUAGGGGUCCCUGCCUUACUUUUAUUUUAAAGACCUAUAGCAUGCAAACCCUGUUCCAAAGUUGAUUCUUUCCACUGUCUCUGAGCUGUGAGCUUCUGCACUGUGAUAUCUGUAGUGUGAAGUGGAAGCACACUAAGAAAAACGUCAAUACACACUGUGGCUCUUUCUCUCUUUAAAUUUUAUUUCAAGCAGCUCAGAGCUUGUAAGGUUGGUAGAAUGGCUUGAUGGGGAGGAGGGACUACUCAAAGGCUUGAUGCUGAUCUGGUGACUGUUUUCUCUGAGACUCCUGCUGGAUCUGGUAUAGACUCUGUCUGUCUCUCUCAAAAUAAAUAAAUGAAUAAAAUAAAGUAAAUAACAUAGGAAAACAACAGGUCC